CCAGACUCCUACGGGAGGCAGCAGUGGGGAAUAUUGCACAAUGGGGGAAACCCUGAUGCAGCGACGCCGCGUGAGUGAAGAAGUAUUUCGGUAUGUAAAGCUCUAUCAGCAGGGAAGAAAAUGACGGUACCUGACCAAGAAGCCCCGGCUAACUACGUGCCAGCAGCCGCGGUAAUACGUAGGGGGCAAGCGUUAUCCGGAUUUACUGGGUGUAAAGGGAGCGUAGACGGCUGUGCAAGUCAGAAGUGAAAGCCCGGGGCUCAACCCCGGGACUGCUUUUGAAACUGCGUGGCUGGAGUGCAGGAGAGGUAAGCGGAAUUCCUGGUGUAGCGGUGAAAUGCGUAGAUAUCAGGAGGAACACCGGCGGCGAAGGCGGCCUGCUGGACCGUGCCUGACGUUGAGGCUCGAGAGCGUGGGGAGCAAACAGGAUUAGAUACCCCAGUA
rnacentral:rRNA from 1 species